CUGUUAAGCUUCUAAUUUUAUCUUAAUUCUUGGAUAGAAGAAUCACAUAGGUACAUAAAUGACUAUAUAUCAUCUCUAUUCAAUAGAACAGAUGACCAAUGAAAGAGGCCUGGUUAUUUAUUCCUUCCAGAGUAAGACUGAAUUCUAUCAAAGAACUUCCAACAUUUGCUUGACUGGAUCUCAGAAUUGUUAUGGACCAGUAACUCCUGUGUGCCUCCUGUUUCCCCCACUUUUAAAAACAGGAGUGUUCUUUAACAGAUGAUUGGAU